rnacentral:rRNA from 1 species
GGAGACGCUGGCGGCGUGCUUAACACAUGCAAGUCGAACGAUGAUGGUGGUGCUUGCACCGCCUGAUUAGUGGCGAACGGGUGAGUAACACGUGAGUAACCCUGCCCCCCUCCUUCGGGAUAACCUCGGGAAAUCGAGGCUAAUACCGAAUAUGAGUUUCCACCGCAUGGUGGUUGCUGGAAAGUUUUUCGGUGGGGAUGGGCUCGCGGCCUAUCAGUUUGUUGGUGAGGGUAAUGGCUUACCAAGGCGAUGACGGGUAGCCGGCCUGAGAGGGCGACCGGCCACACUGGGACUGAGACACGGCCCAGACUCCUACGGGAGGCAGCAGUGGGGAAUAUUGCACAAUGGGCGAAAGCCUGAUGCAGCGACGCCGCGUGGGGGAUGACGGCCUUCGGGUUGUAAACCCCUUUCAGUAGGGAAGAAGCGAGAGCGACGGUACCUGCAGAAGAAGCGCCGGCUAACUACGUG